AAGCAUAUCAAUAAGCGGAGGAAAAGAAACUAACCAGGAUUCCCCUAGUAACUGCGAGUGAAGCGGGAAAAGCUCAAAUUUAAAAUCUGGCGGCUUUGCCGUCCGAGUUGUAGCCUAGAGAAGUGUUUUCCGCGCUGGACCGUGUACAAGUCCCUUGGAACAGGGCGUCAUAGAGGGUGAGAAUCCCGUCCUUGACACGGACUCCCAGGGCUUUGCGAUGCGCUCUCGAAGAGUCGAGUUGUUUGGGAAUGCAGCUCAAAACGGGUGGUAAAUUCCAUCUAAAGCUAAAUAUUGGCGAGAGACCGAUAGCGAACAAGUACCGUGAGGGAAAGAUGAAAAGCACUUUGGAAAGAGAGUUAAACAGUACGUGAAAUUGCUGAAAGGGAAGCGCUUGAAGUCAGUCGCGUCCGUCGGGAUUCAGCCUUGAACGGUGUACUUCCUGACGGACGGGCCAACAUCGAUUUUGGCCGGCGAAAAAGGGUUUGAGGAAUGUGGCAUCUUCGGAUGUGUUAUAGCCUCUUGCCGUACGCGCCGGUUGGGAUCGAGGACCGCAGCUUCGGCUUAGGAUGUUGGCGUAAUGGCUUUAAACGACCCGUCUUGAAACACGGACCAAGGAGUCUAACAUGUCUGCGAGUGUUUGGGUGUGAAACCCGAGCGCGGAAUGAAAGUGAACGUAGGUGGGAGGCGCAAGCCGCACCAUCGACCGAUCCGGAUCUUUAGUGAUGGAUUUGAGUAAGAGCAUAUAUGUUGGGACCCGAAAGAUGGUGAACUAUGCCUGAAUAGGGCGAAGCCAGAGGAAACUCUGGUGGAGGCUCGUAGCGAUUCUGACGUGCAAAUCGAUCGUCAAAUUUGGGUAUAGGGGCGAAAGACUAAUCGAACCAUCUAGUA
rnacentral:rRNA from 1 species